rnacentral:rRNA from 1 species
GAUGAACGCUGGCGGCGUGCCUAAUACAUGCAAGUCGAGCGAACAGAUGAGGAGCUUGCUCCUCUGACGUUAGCGGCGGACGGGUGAGUAACACGUGGAUAACCUACCUAUAAGACUGGGAUAACUACGGGAAACCGGAGCUAAUACCGGAUAAUAUAUUGAACAGCAUGGUUCAAUAGUGAAAGACGGUUUUGCUGUCACUUAUAGAUGGAUCCGCGCCGCAUUAGCUAGUUGGUAAGGUAACGGCUUACCAAGGCAACGAUGCGUAGCCGACCUGAGAGGGUGAUCGGCCACACUGGAACUGAGACACGGUCCAGACUCCUACGGGAGGCAGCAGUAGGGAAUCUUCCGCAAUGGGCGAAAGCCUGACGGAGCAACGCCGCGUGAGUGAUGAAGGUCUUCGGAUCGUAAAACUCUGUUAUUAGGGAAGAACAAAUGUGUAAGUAACUAUGCACGUCUUGACGGUACCUAAUCAGAAAGCCACGGCUAACUACGUG